AUACGGAGGAUCCGAGCGUUAUCCGGAUUUAUUGGGUUUAAAGGGAGCGUAGGCGGACGCUUAAGUCAGUUGUGAAAGUUUGCGGCUCAACCGUAAAAUUGCAGUUGAUACUGGGUGUCUUGAGUACAGUAGAGGCAGGCGGAAUUCGUGGGGUAGCGGUGAAAUGCUUAGAUAUCACGAAGAAAUCCGAUUGCGAAGGCAGCCUGCUGGACUGUAACUGACGCUGAUGCUCGAAAGUGUGGGUAUCAAACAGGAUUAGAUACCCUGGUAGUCCACACAGUAAACGAUGAAUACUCGCUGUUUGCGAUAUACAGUAAGCGGCCAAGCGAAAGCGUUAAGUAGUCCACCUGGGGAGUACGCCGGCAACGGUGAAACUCAAAUGAAUUGGCGGGG
rnacentral:rRNA from 1 species